AAAUCAGUCACUUUAUCAUCUUCUUCAAGUGAGCAAAUAUAAAUCAUCAUGGACCGCAAAUUUCUUCUUCUUCUCGUCUUGGUUCUCGUCACCGUCCAGCUUGUGGAUAUUGCAACAUGCGACGAUUUCUGGACUAGACGUCGUACCAGCUGGAAGUGGAAUGAGCAGAAUGCUCAACAAUUGAGAGAUGCACGUGACGCCCUUGAAGACGACUUUUUGUUGGCCAAUGCUUUCCAAUAAAAUGAAUCGACUGUCAUUUUUGCGUUCCGUUGGAGACAAAUAAAAAACGACGAAUAAUAA